rnacentral:tRNA from 3 species
GGUUUUGUAGUGUAGUGGUGAUCACUCCGGAUUUUGAUUCCGGCAACCCCGGUUCGAACCCGGGCAAGACCU